CCUACGGGGGGCAGCAGUGGGGAAUUUUGGGCAAUGGGGGGAACCCUGACCCAGCGACGCCGCGUGAGGGAAGACAGCCUUCGGGUUUUAAACCUCUUUUGUACGGGAAGAUAAUGACGGUACUGUACGAAUAAGUCCCGGCUAACUACGUGCCAGCAGCCGCGGUAAUACGUAGGGGACGAGCGUUGUCCGGAAUUACUGGGCGUAAAGGGCGCGCAGGCUGCGUUACAAGUCAGCUGUUAAAUGCAUGGGCUUACCCCAUGAGUGCGGUUGAAACUGUAGUGCUAGAGUACUGUAGAGGCAAGCGGAAUUCCCAGUGUAGCGGUGAAAUGCGUAGAUAUUGGGAGGAACACCGGUGGCGUAGGCGGCUUGCUGGACAGUAACUGACGCUGAGGCGCGAAAGCCAGGGGAGCAAACGGGCUUAGAUACCCUAGUAGUC
rnacentral:rRNA from 1 species